rnacentral:rRNA from 16 species
AAGUGGAUUAAAAAAAGUGCUUCAGGGUACGAUGGUUCGUCAUGAAUGCGUCACUGUGUGAUUCUCUACCCUAUCAGCUUUGGUUGGUGGUGUAGUAGGGAACCUUGGCGAUCGCGGUUAGCAGCAGGU